rnacentral:rRNA from 1 species
AUUGAACGCUGGCGGCAGGCCUAACACAUUCAAGUCGAGCGGAGCGGCGGACGGGUGAGUAAUGCCUAUGAAUCUUCCUUUUAGUUGUGUAUAACGUCCGGAAACGGGCGCUAAUACCGCAUACUAUCAGAUAAGCCUAGGUCGGAUUAGCUAGUUGGUGGGGUAAAGGCCUACCAAGGCUACGAGCCGUAACUGGUCUGAGAGGAUGAUCAGUCACACUGGAACUGAGACACGGUCCAGAGUCCUACGGGAGGCAGCAGUGGGGAAUAUUGGACAAUGGGCGAAAGCCGGAUCCAGCCAUGCCGCGUGUGUGAAGAAGGUCUUCGGAUUGUAAAGCACUUUAAGUUGGGAGGCGUGACCAACAGAAUAAGCACCGGCGAACUUCGUGCCAGCCGCCGCGGUAAUUC